CUCUCUAAGAAUGAUGGAGCAUUAGUGACUAGUUAAAUUUCUGAAACAAGAUCAAGUACAUAUUGCUUUGUUUUAUUUAUUUCGAAAAUAGAGGGAAAAAAAGAAGAGUGAUUUUCAGAUUUGAAAUUACUUAAAUAAAAUUGAGUCUAUUUUAAUUCUAAAGCUAUAUAUAUAUAUUUUAUCAUGGAUUCUGAAGAGGAAGAAUUUUCACUUGAGGAACAAGUAUUUUGGUGCAUAAAAAAUAUAGAACAAAAACUUCAAGUGAAAAAUAUGAAUCCAAAGCAAGGUACUUGUUAUAAUAUGUGUUGGAUAUACAGAAUGAAAAUGUGGUGUAAUUGGAGUGACUUAUAAGUGAAUUGUUUUUUGUGAAAAUAAUUUUAUUUAAGUGAAAAGCGCAGCAGACCUACCAAAUGAAACAGACCUGCCAAUUUCAGAAAUUCAAAUCCAGAGACUUUUUUUAGAUUACAUGCCAAAUCUCUGUUACAAUCAUUAAAAGUAUUAGCUAAUGAGAAGACUCCUCUAAUUAAAAAAAGGCAAGUAAUGCGCAUGACCUGUGGGGAUUAUCGAACUUCUAUGCAAGAUGAAAUGAAACAGCUGAAACAACAGAUGAAGAAACAUAAAAUUGCUCCUGUUGAAAAAAUACAAGGAAGUCGUUUUCUGCAUAAGAGUAUCAAAAACUGUAAUGAAGAAAAAGAAGAAAUGAAAAAAACUGAAAACAAUUCUUCCAUUUUUCUUUUCAAUUUUCCAAAUACUGAUGAAAUAAAUGGAUAAUUCUUCUUUUCUUGUAUAGUAAUGUUGUAAUUUGUUAUACAUCUUCUGAAAUAAAAUAAAUAUUUUUUUGAACACUA